UACGGGGGGAGCAAGCGUUGUUCGGAUUUACUGGGCGUAAAGGGCGCGUAGGCGGCCAGCGCAAGUCAGUUGUGAAAUCUCCGGGCUUAACUCGGAACGGUCAACUGAUACUGCGCGGCUAGAGUGCAGAAGGGGCAACUGGAAUUCUCGGUGUAGCGGUGAAAUGCGUAGAUAUCGGAAGGAACAUCAGUGGCGAAAGCGACUUCCUGGACCAGUACCGACGUUCAGGCACGAAAGCGUGGGGAGCAAACAGG
rnacentral:rRNA from 1 species